GGGAAACUGAGAUCACCAGAGCUCGGUUUCAGCAGCCAUGCUAGCAGCUGCACCGUGAUGCUCGGUGCAGGGAGAGGAGGACCUGAGCUGGGCGGAUGCUUCGUGUGAUGAAAAAUAUCCAUCUGCGCCUUUCAAAUCUUGGAUCGGUCUGUAGCAUGAAACUAAUCUUGAGCCGUCGCCCAGCUGUUUGCGGCGUAAUCUUACCUGCCAGCCAAAGAUCACCUCAGUGCGUUGGGUUUAAAAUCUGUCACUGUUCACGGUGCGAUAUGUGACUAAACACAGAAAUGAUCCUCAAACAUGCCGGUUUUCUGUUAAACCUGCGACGGCGCCAUUGUUUCAAACGCACACGAUUCUUAUAUUAAUGCCGUAAAUCAGACAGAGACAGAAACGUGCUGAGAGGAAAGACCUAGGCUGAUCAGGAAAUGAUCUGAGAAGAGGACAAGAUGGAAGCAAAGUGCAGAGCUGAAUGGGGGAGAGGGGAAAGAGUUUGCCUCGGAGGCCUCUGUCAUUUACGCUUGGAUAAAAAAAAAGAAAAAAAAUCACAGCCUGGGCCCCUGUUUCAUUUCUAUGGCAACCUGAAGGCCAUUAUCGUACCUUGCCAUUCAUUAUGAAAAGACUUGUGCAGUGUAUUUUUCCUGCCUACAGCUGGGAAACAGAAGGGAAAGAAAUGAAUGAGUGAAUGAAGAAACUCCACUCUGCUGCAUGGCGCAGGGUGGUUCAAGGAGUUUAUUAACACCGGGGAUUUUCUGCUGCUGUGCAAAGCAGGAAAACUGUUUUAAAGGAUAUUGCCAAGAUCUCUGUCACAGUGCUGACACAGAGAGGGGCCUCUCCAAAAACAGAAGGUUGGAGCAAACAGAGCAACCGGCGUGGGCACAACCCCAAACGUCUAACAAGGUAACCCCUCGAAGCCACUCACCCGGCCUGGGAAAGUUCAGAGGAGAAAGUGAAGAGCAAACAAACAUCAUCACCACGUUUUCUUUAUACAGUAACAGUGUUGGACCGAUGGGCAGGCUGUGCUAUGCAUUGUGA
rnacentral:lncRNA from 1 species